AGUGAACGCUGGCGGUAGGCCUAACACAUGCAAGUCGAACGGCAGCACAGUAAGAGCUUGCUCUUACGGGUGGCGAGUGGCGGACGGGUGAGGAACACAUCGGAAUCUACUUUUUCGUGGGGAUAACGUAGGGAAACUUACGCUAAUACCGCAUACGACCUACGGGUGAAAGCAGGGGAUCUUCGGACCUUGCGCGAUUGAAUGAGCCGAUGUCGGAUUAGCUAGUUGGCGGGGUAAAGGCCCACCAAGGCGACGAUCCGUAGCUGGUCUGAGAGGAUGAUCAGCCACACUGGAACUGAGACACGGUCCAGACUCCUACGGGAGGCAGCAGUGGGGAAUAUUGGACAAUGGGCGCAAGCCUGAUCCAGCCAUACCGCGUGGGUGAAGAAGGCCUUCGGGUUGUAAAGCCCUUUUGUUGGGAAAGAAAAGCAGCAGGUUAAUACCCCGCUGUUCUGACGGUACCCAAAGAAUAAGCACCGGCUAACUUCGUG
rnacentral:rRNA from 1 species